rnacentral:rRNA from 1 species
GACGAACGCUGGCGGCGUGCCUAACACAUGCAAGUCGAGCGGAGCUGUUAAGAGGAAGUUUUCGGAUGGAAUCUUAAUGGUUUAGCGGCGGACGGGUGAGAACGCGUGAGCGACCAACCUUGCACAGGGGGAUAACGGACCGAAAGGUUCACUAAUACCGCAUGAGACCACGGUGUUGCAUGACACAGGGGUCAAAGGAGAAAUCCGGUGCAAGACGGGCUCGCGUCCGAUUAGGUAGUUGGUGGGGUAAAGGCCUACCAAGCCAAUGAUCGGUAGCCGACCUGGGAGGGUGAUCGGCCACAUUGGAACCGAGAUACGGGCCAAACUCCUACGGGAGGCAGCAGUGGGGAAUAUUGGGCAAUGGGGGAAACCCUGACCCAGCAACGCCGCGUGAAGGAAGAAGGUUUUCGGAUUGUAAACUUCUGUCCUUGGUGAAGAGAAGAAGACGGUAGCCGAGGAGGAAGCCCCGGCUAACUACGUGCCAGCAGCCGCCGUAAAAC